GGGGACCAGAUGACAGACCGGAGAGUUCCCCAGAUGGGAAAGACCCUUUUGCCGGGGGCGGGGGUCGGAGGGCGGGAGGGGGCAGUUCAGUCACCUUUUGAUUUCGAUUUUUCUUUUUCAAGAGACACCUUUCAUGUGCACCGGACGAGAAGAUUCGGAGCGGCCCUUCCCAAGUGUGAAGAAGAUGCGCACGCCGGAUGCCCCGGUUCCGAAGGGCUGUCCCUCCUCCUCCUCUCGCCUUCAAACCGUGCUCGCCAAACCCUAUUUAAAAUGCGGUAGUCAAUACCCGGCUAUUUCUCUCGAUUCCUGUUUUCUUCCCCUAAAUGCACGAAUUGCUUUCAAGCAAUCUGGUUAAAAACUCUAGAACUGCUGGAAGGACAGACCGGUGGAUUCAUGGCUGUACAUUUCCACCCGGCUCUCUCUCCUUCUUAUAAUUUCAACUCAUCGUUUCUUUCAAAAGGCGGAAGGGAGGGAGGAGGAUGUCCGAGGAUGGGAGACCAGCGAACAGGUCUCAGACCCGCUUCCAGUGCGAAGACCUAACCAAAGAGUUACCUCCGAGGAAUGUAAAGCGAAUAUGUUGCGGAACUGAAAAGACUAGAGCCACGCGGCUGCUGGGAACGCGGAUCCAACUGGGACGGCAGCAUCACACCGGAGUCUCUGGGUGGAUUAACGUUAUCUCCAAGCAGCCGCCUCUCUGCCACCGAGGGAACCCUAUGUGGGAAGUAUCUGAAUUCCCGAGAAGUGUCAUCGGAUUUAUUUCUU